UAGGCGUCGAUUACGCCGGGGACGCGUCCCCACCAGUUUUCGUAAAGACUAAUUUUGUCCCCACCAGAAAAAAAAGAAGAAAAAAAAAGAAAAAAAAAAUAUAUAUAGUUUUUUAAAAAUGAAUGUUUAUAGCGCGAGACAGAUGCGAACCAAUCCACAAAAAAACGAUCUGCAUACGGCACACAAGCCAGCCGUCAACAAUUUGCAACAAUUAUAACAUUUGGAUGAGUAGUUCUAGAAUGGGGGAGGGGUGGGUGGUACGGUGGGCGGCUCCUUCUCUGUGUAAUCUGAACCUGACUGCUUGCUGCGCACUUCCAUGGACAAUCUGCUGCGGUUGCAGCCUCAUGCAUUUGAGGAAAGGAGGUCCGGAGGAGGAACUUGUUUCUGCCAACUCACCUCUUCAUUGCCAUCUACCAGUUCCUGCCUUUCAUUAAGCUCUGAUGUUCCUUAUAAAUAAAUAAAAAUGUGUUAACUCAA